rnacentral:rRNA from 1 species
AAGCAUAUCAAUAAGCGGAGGAAAAGAAACCAACAGGGAUUGCCCUAGUAACGGCGAGUGAAGCGGCAACAGCUCAAAUUUGAAAUCUGGCCCCCCGGCCCGAGUUGUAAUUUGCAGAGGAUGCUUCGGGCGCGGUGCCUUCCAAGUCCCCUGGAACGGGGCGCCACAGAGGGUGAGAGCCCCGUCAGGUCGGCCACCAAGCCUGUGUGAAGCUCCUUCGACGAGUCGAGUAGUUUGGGAAUGCUGCUCUAAGUGGGAGGUAGACCCCUUCUAAAGCUAAAUACCGGCCAGAGACCGAUAGCGCACAAGUAGAGUGAUCGAAAGAUGAAAAGCACUUUGAAAAGAGGGUUAAAUAGUACGUGAAAUUGUUGAAAGGGAAGCGCUUGUGACCAGACGUGCGCCGGGGUGUUCAGCGGGCGUUCUCGCCCGUGCACUCGCCCCGGCGCAGGCCAGCGUCGGUUCUGGCGGGGGGACAAAGACGACGGGAACGUAGCUCCCCCGGGAGUGUUAUAGCCCGUCGUGCCAUGCCCCCGCCGGGACCGAGGUUCGCGCUCCGCAAGGACGCUGGCGUAAUGGUCCCCAGCGGCCCGUCUUGAAACACGGACCAAGGAGUCGAGGUUUUGCGCGAGUGUUUGGGUGUCAAACCCGCACGCGUAAUGAAAGUGAACGUAGGUGGGAGCUUCGGCGCACCACCGACCGAUCCUGAUGUGCUCGGAUGGAUUUGAGUAGGAGCGCAGGGCCUCGGACCCGAAAGAUGGUGAACUAUACGUGGAUAGGGUGAAGCCAGAGGAAACUCUGGUGGAGGCUCGCAGCGGUUCUGACGUGCAAAUCGAUCGUCAAAUCUGCGUAUGGGGGCGAAAGACUAAUCGAACCA